rnacentral:rRNA from 1 species
UGCCAGCCGCCGCGGUAAUACGAAGGGCCCGAGCGUUGCGCGGAAUCACUGGGCUUAAAGCGUACGUAGGCGGAUGCAAAGGCGUCCUGUGAAAGCCCUCGGCUCAACCGAGGAACUGCAGGGCGAACCAUGUGUCUUGAGGCAAGUAGGGGUUGUCGGAACGAUAGGUGGAGUGGUGAAAUGCGUUGAUAUCUAUCGGAACGCCAAAGGUGAUGACAGGCAACUGGGCUUGUCCUGACGCUGAGGUACGAAAGCGUGGGUAGCGAACGGGAUUAGAUA